CAUCUAUGGGGGUCUUUUGGUGCCUAUAGGGCAUCUGUGGGUGUCUUUAGUGCAUCUAUUGGGGUCUGUGGGUGUCUAUAGGGUGUCUGAGUGUCUAUAGGGCAUUUAUGGGGGUCUAUGGGUGUCUAUAGGGCAUCUGUGGGGGUCUGUAGGGUGUCUAUGAGUGUCUAUAGGGCGUCUAUGGGUGUCUGUAGGGCACCUAUAGGGGUCUGUGGGUGUCUUUAGGGCAUCUAUGGAGGUCUGUGGGUGUCUAUAGGGGGUUAUGGGUGUCUAUAAGGUGUCUAUGAGUUCCUAUGGGGGUCUGUAUGGAAGCUGUGGGGGUCCAUGGGGUGUCUGUGGGACUCUAUGGGAUGUCUACAGGUGUCUAUGGCUCACUAUAGGCCUGCGCAAAGGGAGUCUAUAGGGUUCCAUAGGUGCGUGUCUACGGGGUGUCCAUGGGGCUCUAUGGGGUGUUUAUGGGCGUCUGUCAGGUCUGUGGGGUAUCUAUGGGUCUCUAUGGAUGCCUAUGGGGUGUCUGUGUGUUUCUGUGGGGUCUCUAUGGGUCUCUAUGUGUCACUAUGGAGUCGCUGUGGGUCUUUAUGGGUCUCUAUGGGGUCUUUAUGGGUCUCUGUGGGUCUCUAUGGGGUCUCUAUGGGUCUCUAUGGGGUGGCUGCUCCCCACUGACCCCCCAUGCCUGCAGUGGAUGCUGAGAUCGUCUCCAUCGAUUCCUUCCCCAAGUCCCCCCCUCAGCGCGGGCUCGUCGUGGGCAUCACCUUCAUCAAGGACUCCGGGGACAAGCCCAGCCCCUUCCUCAACAUCUACUGUGACUAUGAGCCUGGCUCUGAGUAUGACCUCGACUCCGUGGCCCAGAGUUGCCUCAACCUGGAGCUGCAGUUCACCCCCUUCCAGCUCUGCCACGCGGAGUGCGUCCAACCCAUACCCCAUAUAUUCCAUAUUCUAUAUCCUAUGUAUUCCGUAUCCUAUAUCCUGUAUUACAUAUCCUAUAUCCUAUAUCCCAUACCGCGUAUUCUAUAUUCUACAUCCCAUAUAUUCCAUAUCCUAUAUCCCAUAUAUCCCAUAUACCAUAUCGCGUAUCCCAUAUAUCCCAUGUGCUAUAUUCCAUAUAUCCUGUAUCCCAUAUAUCCCGUAUUUCGCAUCCCAUAUAUUUCAUAUUUUGUAUCCCAUAUAUCCCAUAUUCCCUAUCCUACAUCCCAUAUGUGCCAUAUGCUAUAUAUCCCUUAUCCCACAUCCCAUAUAUCCCAUAUACUUCAUAUCCCACAUUCCAUAUAUGCCAUACCCCAUAUUGCAUAUCACAUAUAUCAAAUAUUCUCUAUUCCACAUCCCAUAUAUCUCACAUCUCCCACAUCCCAUAUGUCCCUUAUCCCAUAUCUGUUAUUCCACAUCCUAUAUACCCCACAUUCCAUAUAUUCCAUAUCCCAUUUACCCCAUAUUCCACAUCCCAUAUAUCCCACAUCUUGUAUAUCCCAUAUCCCAUGUAUCCUGUAUCCCAUCAAUCCCGUAUCCCAUCUAUCCCACAUCCUGUAUCCCAUAUCCCAUCUAUCCCCUAUAUUCCCUGUAUCCUGUAUCCAGGGUUCGGAGCGGUGACAGCCUCGAGACCGUUUUCCUGCUCAGUGGCAAUGACCCAGCCGUGCACCUCUACAAGGAGGUGAGAGCAUCCCUGCUCCGGUCCCAUUCCUGCCCUAUC
rnacentral:lncRNA from 14 species